GAUGAACGCUGGCGGCGUGCCUAAUACAUGCAAGUCGAGCGAAUGGAUUAAGAGCUUGCUCUUAUGAAGUUAGCGGCGGACGGGUGAGUAACACGUGGGUAACCUGCCCAUAAGACUGGGAUAACUCCGGGAAACCGGGGCUAAUACCGGAUAACAUUUUGAACCGCAUGGUUCGAAAUUGAAAGGCGGCUUCGGCUGUCACUUAUGGAUGGAUCCGCGUCGCAUUAGCUAGUUGGUGAGGUAACGGCUCACCAAGGCAACGAUGCGUAGCCGACCUGAGAGGGUGAUCGGCCACACUGGGACUGAGACACGGCCCAGACUCCUACGGGAGGCAGCAGUAGGGAAUCUUCCGCAAUGGACGAAAGUCUGACGGAGCAACGCCGCGUGAGUGAUGAAGGCUUUCGGGUCGUAAAACUCUGUUGUUAGGGAAGAACAAGUGCUAGUUGAAUAAGCUGGCACCUUGACGGUACCUAACCAGAAAGCCACGGCAAACUACGUGCCAGCCGCCGCGGUAA
rnacentral:rRNA from 1 species